rnacentral:SRP_RNA from 2 species
GCUGGGCAUGGUGGCUCAUGCCUGUAAUCCCAGCACUUUGGGAGGCUGAGGUGGGUGGAUCACCUGAGGUCAGGAGUUUGAGACCAGCCUGGCCAACAUGAUGAAACCCCAUCUCUU